rnacentral:rRNA from 1 species
UUAAGUUAAUAAGGGCGCACGGUGGAUGCCUUGGCACUAGGAGCCGACGAAGGACGUGACAAACGACGAUAUGCCUUGGGUAGCUGUAAGUAAGCGAUGAUCCAGGGAUUUCCGAAUGGGGGAACCCAACAGGUAAUACCUGUUACCUACAUCUGUUAAGGAUGUGAGGAGGAAGACGCAGUGAACUGAAACAUCUAAGUAGCUGCAGGAAGAGAAAGCAAAAGCGAUUGCCUUAGUAGCGGCGAGCGAAACGGCAGAAGGGCAAACCGAAGAGUUUACUCUUCGGGGUUGUAGGACUGCAAUGUGGACUCAAAGAUUAUAGAAGAAUGAUUUGGGAAGAUCAGCCAAAGAGAGUAAUAGCCUCGUAUUUAAAAUAGUCUUUGUACUUAGCAGUAUCCUGAGUACGGCGGGACACGUGAAAUCCCGUCGGAAUCUGGGAGGACCAUCUCCCAACCCUAAAUACUCCCUAGUGACCGAUAGUGAACCAGUACCGUGAGGGAAAGGUGAAAAGCACCCCGGGAGGGGAGUGAAAUAGAACCUGAAACCGUGUGCCUACAACAAGUUCGAGCCCGUUAAUGGGUGAGAGCGUGCCUUUUGUAGAAUGAACCGGCGAGUUACGUUAUGAUGCGAGGUUAAGUUGAAGAGACGGAGCCGUAGGGAAACCGAGUCUGAAUAGGGCGCCUUAGUAUCAUGACGUAGACCCGAAACCAUGUGACCUACCCAUGAGCAGGUUGAAGGUGCGGUAAGACGCACUGGAGGACCGAACCAGGGCACGUUGAAAAGUGCUUGGAUGACUUGUGGGUAGCGGAGAAAUUCCAAACGAACUUGGAGAUAGCUGGUUCUCUCCGAAAUAGCUUUAGGGCUAGCGUCGACAUUAGAGAUUCUUGGAGGUAGAGCACUGUUUGGGUGAGGGGUCNNNNNAUCCCGGAUUACCAAUCUCAGAUAAACUCCGAAUGCCAAUGAAUUAUGGUCGGCAGUCAGACUGCGAGUGCUAAGAUCCGUAGUCGAAAGGGAAACAGCCCAGACCACCAGCUAAGGUCCCAAAAUAAUUGUUAAGUGGAAAAGGAUGUGGGGUUGCACAGACAACUAGGAUGUUAGCUUAGAAGCAGCUAUUCAUUCAAAGAGUGCGUAAUAGCUCACUAGUCGAGUGACCCUGCGCCGAAAAUGUACCGGGGCUAAAACAAUUUACCGAAGCUGUGGAUACCUUUAUAGGUAUGGUAGGAGAGCGUUCUAUGUGUGAUGAAGGUAUACCGUGAGGAGUGCUGGAACGCAUAGAAGUGAGAAUGCCGGUAUGAGUAGCGAAAGACAGGUGAGAAUCCUGUCCACCGUAAGACUAAGGUUUCCAGGGGAAGGCUCGUCCGCCCUGGGUUAGUCGGGACCUAAGGAGAGACCGAAAGGUGUAUCCGAUGGACAACAGGUUGAUAUUCCUGUACUAGAGUAUGUAGUGAUGGAGGGACGCAGUAGGCUAACUAAAGCAGACGAUUGGAAGAGUCUGUCUAAGCAGUGAGGUGUGAAUUGAGUCAAAUGCUUAAUUCUAUAACAUUGAGCUGUGAUGGGGAGCGAAGUUUAGUAGCGAAGUUAGUGACGUCACACUGCCAAGAAAAGCUUCUAGCGUUUAAACAUACUCUACCCGUACCGCAAACCGACACAGGUAGUCGAGGCGAGUAGCCUCAGGUGAGCGAGAGAACUCUCGUUAAGGAACUCGGCAAAAUGACCCCGUAACUUCGGGAGAAGGGGUGCUGACUUAAAGUCAGCCGCAGUGAAUAGGCCCAAGCAACUGUUUAUCAAAAACACAGCUCUCUGCUAAAUCGUAAGAUGAUGUAUAGGGGGUGACGCCUGCCCGGUGCUGGAAGGUUAAGAGGAGUGCUUAGCGUAAGCGAAGGUAUGAAUUGAAGCCCCAGUAAACGGCGGCCGUAACUAUAACGGUCCUAAGGUAGCGAAAUUCCUUGUCGGGUAAGUUCCGACCCGCACGAAAGGCGUAAUGAUUUGGGCACUGUCUCAACGAGAGACUCGGUGAAAUUUUAGUACCUGUGAAGAUGCAGGUUACCCGCGACAGGACGGAAAGACCCCAUGGAGCUUUACUGCAGUUUGAUAUUGAGUGUCUGUACCACAUGUACAGGAUAGGUAGGAGUCUAAGAGAUCGGGACGCCAGUUUCGAAGGAGACGCUGUUGGGAUACUACCCUUGUGUUAUGGCCACUCUAACCCAGAUAGGUGAUCCCUAUCGGAGACAGUGUCUGACGGGCAGUUUGACUGGGGCGGUCGCCUCCUAAAAGGUAACGGAGGCGCCCAAAGGUUCCCUCAGAAUGGUUGGAAAUCAUUCGCAGAGUGUAAAGGUAUAAGGGAGCUUGACUGCGAGAGCUACAACUCGAGCAGGGACGAAAGUCGGGCUUAGUGAUCCGGUGGUUCCGUAUGGAAGGGCCAUCGCUCAACGGAUAAAAGCUACCCUGGGGAUAACAGGCUUAUCUCCCCCAAGAGUUCACAUCGACGGGGAGGUUUGGCACCUCGAUGUCGGCUCGUCGCAUCCUGGGGCUGUAGUCGGUCCCAAGGGUUGGGCUGUUCGCCCAUUAAAGCGGCACGCGAGCUGGGUUCAGAACGUCGUGAGACAGUUCGGUCCCUAUCCGUCGCGGGCGUAGGAAAUUUGAGAGGAUCUGCUCCUAGUACGAGAGGACCAGAGUGGACUUACCGCUGGUGUACCAGUUGUCUUGCCAAAGGCAUCGCUGGGUAGCUAUGUAGGGAAGGGAUAAACGCUGAAAGCAUCUAAGUGUGAAACCCACCUCAAGAUGAGAUUUCCCAUGAUUAUAUAUCAGUAAGAGCCCUGAGAGAUGAUCAGGUAGAUAGGUUAGAAGUGGAAGUGUGGCGACACAUGUAGCGGACUAAUACUAAUAGCUCGAGGACUUAUCCAA